CCUACGGGGGGCAGCAGCAAGGAAUUUUCCCCAAUGGGCUAACGCCUGAGGGAGCAACGCCGCGUGCAGGAAGACGGCCUUCGGGUUGUAAACUGCUUUUCGGAGGGAAGAAUAUGACGGUACCUCCGGAAUAAGCCCCGGCUAACUCUGUGCCAGCAGCCGCGGUAAGACGGAGGGCGCGAGCGUUGUUCGGAAUCACUGGGCGUAAAGCGCGCGCAGGCGGGCUCUAGCAAGUCGGAAGUGAAAUCCCGGGGCUCAACUCCGGGCCUGCUUCCGAAACUGCGGGUCUGGAGACCGGUAGAGGUGGGUGGAAUUCCCGGUGUAGCGGUGGAAUGCGUAGAGAUCGGGAAGAACACCUGUGGCGAAGGCGGCCCACUGGGCCGGUUCUGACGCUGAGGCGCGAAAGCGUGGGGAGCAAACAGGAUUAGAUACCCUAGUAG
rnacentral:rRNA from 1 species